UGUAAAAUGGUUACAAAUUUGAUGUUGUGGAUACUACUUAUAAACACUAAUACAAAUUAAAAAUUAAAAUAAAUAAUUGAAAUAAACAAAAAGUAAAACAAACAAAAUAGAGACAAAAGUAAAAUAAAAAUAAGAGCACACGGUAAUAUAAAAACUGCUUCCAACCAUUCGGAUUGUGAUACAAAUGGUGCGCACUUUGUUUGCUAUAAUAAAUUUCAUGUAAAAUUCUAUCACAUUGUUC
rnacentral:lncRNA from 1 species